rnacentral:lncRNA from 1 species
UUGAAGACGAACCAGGAGCAGAACUUGAACUUUCCAUUGAAUGAUUGAAGAUUGAAGAGGGUUCUAGGGUUUUGAAGUUUCUUAGCAACGAAGGUUUAGAAAAGAAAUGAAAGUGUUUGUUGUGAAGUGAGUAGUGUGUGAAUUGACUUAGUGUUUUUAAGUAAACCGUUUGCAAUUCAAAAGAGACAAACAAACAUAGCAUUAAUGACAAAUUGGG